CAAACUCUCUCUCACUCACUCACUCACAGAAGCAUACACACACACUCACGAAGGCGACGCUUUUUCUGUCUGUAUACAUACAUAUAUGUGAGCAUACUUGUUUUACUUUGCAUUUCCAUUUUCACAUAACAAAAAGGCAAAAAAAAAAAUUGUACUAAACACUCGCUUGCACUCUGUUUUGUUCAUAUUUUUAGAAUUUUGGUAUUUUUAAACAUUUUUUACAUCCUUUGGUACACACACACACGAACACAAAAACACACUGGGACGCACAAACAUACUUUUUGCUGAACCUGCGCCAACAUAUUGCAAGGCUGCAAAGAAAAAAAAGAUUGUUGUUUUUUCACUUCUGCACUUAGUAGUACUAACAAUUAUCGAACGAGCUAGCGAGCGGGAGCAGCGGAUUGAUGGGCAAAUAAGAAAAAUAAAAAACGCUGUGCGCGUUGUGCGCUGCACGAAGGACGAAAAUGAAA